rnacentral:lncRNA from 1 species
UCCAUUAUAAUAACCUUUUGGAGUAGUUAAUAUCCCAAUUGUACAUCUAUCGAUAAUCCAUCAAAAUGAACUCCCGAUUCUGCUUCAAAAUGCAGAAAGCGCAAUGUGCAUGGAAAAACACUUUGCACUUGGAAAUACAAUUCCAGGCCAUUGGAAUUGGAGGUCCACAUGUUUCUGUGAUCAAAUUUGACAUUUUCUAAAAUUAGAUUUAGUUUACAAAAGCAAGUUCAACUAGGAGAACAAAUAAUGAGAUAUUGAAAAGGCAUGUACACAUUAUUCCAGGUAAUAAUCACUAACCAAUGCAAGCACUCCCGUUAACCCGUAUCAUCUUAAAACAACUGAUGAAUGAUUUUCCAUCUAAGCAUUUCCCCAUUUCCUUCAAACAACAGUCUACGGUUUGAAUGCAGUUACCAUUUCAGGAAUUGUCUACAGACUGUGAGAAACAACAAAACAAGUCAGUAAAAAUGCACAUACAGAUACGGAGACAGACAUAUGAAUCAUCUAAAACAACGAUUUUUAUCAUCUGUAGCAAAGAUAAAAACUUCAUAGAAGUCCAAAUACGAAGAGAAGAAAGAGAUAUUCCUAGCUGUUUUAUUCUUAGACAAAGUAUCUAAUUGAUAAGUAGUUCGCCUGAAAUCAGACUAAACCAAGGUCGGAGGAGCCUUAGGGUAGUAAUUAAUUGAGAUGCUUACAAUUGCAUUUUCAAAAGCUUCCUGCCGAACCGGCUCCUAUUUCGAGUAAGCGCCAUAAUCAUUUAGCGAGGUUUUGGGCCGAUACAAUGAAAAUUGCUUACUUAUGUCAUUAUGUGAGAUAAGUGUUAGGAAUCAACUUAGGUAAUAAAAUCGAUUAACUAAGGAUAAGCAGCGAUGUAGGAUCAAAUCCCAAAGAUAGCAAGUAUUUCCUUUCUUAAGAAGGAAAGUCUUUUUCAAAAACUAUAUAUAAAUUUAGAUAUGAAUUUGAGAUAGUUACCUUAAGAAAAUUCUAACAAUAGGCAGAAAUGCCUAUGCUUUAUUCUUUUGAUUUUUGAAGGUGGGAGAAAGAUGACGAGAUAAAGAAAAAUGAAUGUAACUGAUCUCAAUGAAUAACAAACCCAACGUUCAAAAACAUUUGUCCGGAUGUCCCCUACUAAAAUGUAGCAGGUUUACAACAAACAAUCAUGUAAACCGUACUAUGGAUUCUCUGGGUUAAUCAAACACCAUAUUAUAUUUAUGCAUGAUUCCAAAUAUGCUCAGAGCAAAGUUUUUACCUUCCAUCCAAAAAAUAUCUUCUUUUUAACCCCCCCCCCCCCCCCCCAGGGGGGGGGGAUUGAAAACAAAUGCUUUUAGCUCACAAAAAAUUCCAUAAAUGUUGUGCAACAUUAAAUUAUUUUAUGUUAACUAGUCUAGGUACUAUGAAAUAGAAAAACACCAACUUCUUUCCAUUUAUUGGGUUUUCAAUCAAUAUAAGACUCCAUACCAGGCCCAACUUUCUCCGAUGAAUAGGUCAAAUGAAACUUCCAUUUAGGUUUUCUUUUUUUAAGGGGGGAUCACCUGCUGCUCAAGUGGCUGCAUGAGAAGUAAUCAAAACAGCAGCAAAAGAAAAUCCAAACAUUCCAUAAUAUUUUCAUUUAAAUCAAAAAAAUCCAAUUUAGAAAAGAUAUAUGCUUAGAUUUGAUGCAAGUAAAGUGUCUCAGCAACUGACCUGAGAAACUGGGAAGAAUCUUUAUUUACUUUAUUGACAUGUCUCAUCCAGCCUAGAUUCAGACCCCAUUCUAUGAAUCCAUUUGGAACUGAAAUCAACAUCAGUGAAGGACAAUUGUUCAAGAGAUAAAACCACACGAACUUGGGCAGCAUCCAAUGACCCUUAGGUAAGCUUUAGCAUCAUAUUGAACAUACUGCACUUUUAUCAAUGCUGCAAUGACUUCAUUUGAACUUAAAAUCACAAAUACACCGCCAGAAGCAACCAACUAUCAAGCCAUUUAGAGCAAUUUGACUCCCAAUUUUAAAUCAAUAAACCAUAUGAAUGGAGAUGUAAGAAAUUAUAU